UGCUAACAGCAGAAGAAGAAGCACAAGAGGCACAAGCACAAAGCCAAGCAGAAGAAGAGCAGUAGGAAGGAGGAGUCAUCAGACAGCAGCUCAGAGGGGAGUGACGGGAACAGCAAGGAGGACGGAGAGGAGGGAGGAGGGGUAUCAACAGAAGAGCUGCUCAAAAGGUUGAAGAGCAUCCGUGGGAAGAAUCUGCAGUGAAUCAGUGGACCGACAGACAACAGGAUCCACCGUGUCCUCCAUGAGGAUAGAUACCGGAGACGGGAGUCAGGAACCAUUCUGUAUGGCAUUUAGUCAGGAACCAUUCUGUAUGGCAUUUAGUCAGGAACCAUUCUGUAUGGCAUUUAGUCAGGAACCAUUCUGUAUGGCAUUUAGUCAGGAACCAUUCUGUAUGGCAUUUAGUCAGGAACCAUUCUGUAUGGCAUUUAGUCAGGAACCAUUCUGUAUGGCAUUUAGUCAGGAACCAUUCUGUAUGGCAUUUAGUCAGGAACCAUUCUGUAUGGCAUUUAGUCAGGAACCAUUCUGUAUGGCAUUUAGGAAGUCCAAUAGCCCUGUUGUACCUAUGCUGAUGAAAGAGGGUCUUACUUUACAUUUUUAAAUGUAAUUCUCAUGAGAUGUGAGUUUUUUUUGGCUGAUCAAUGUCUCGGGCUGAUUAUGUUGAGAGAUCUUGAAUUGUUACUAUUGUCUGUUAAUCAAUACAAAGGAGAUAAAAUAAAAAAAUAAAAACA